rnacentral:misc_RNA from 1 species
UUUCCGUAGGUGAACCUGCGGAAGGAUCAUUAUUGUAUAACCGAGGUGCGAGGGCUGUCGCUGACCCGAAAGGUCGUGCACGCCCGAGUGCCCUCACACACAUCCAUCUCACCCCUAUGUGCACCACCGCGUGGGUCCCCCUUUGGCUUGUUCGGAGGGGGGCUUACGUUUUCACACAAACUUUGUAUGCAGUGUAGAAUGUAUUUUUUGUUUUUGCGAUCACGCAAUCAAUACAACUUUCAACAACGGAUCUCUUGGCUCUCGCAUGGAUGAAGAACGCAGC